CGCGUAGGCGGUUAUAUUAGUGUGAUGUGAAAGCCCUGGGCUUAACCUAGGAAGCGCAUCGCAAACGGUAUAACUGGAGUAUAAGAGAGGGUGGCGGAAUUUCCGGUGUAGCGGUGAAAUGCGUAGAGAUCGGAAGGAACGUCAAUGGCGAAGGCAGCCACCUGGCUUAAUACUGACGCUGAGGCGCGAAAGCGUGGGGAGCGAACAGGAUUAGAUACCCUGGUAGUCCACGCUGUAAACGAUGAGGACUAGAUGUUGGUAGGGGAACCUAUCAGUAUCGAAGCAAACGCGAUAAGUCUUCCGCCUGGGAAGUACGGCCGCAAGGUUGAA
rnacentral:rRNA from 1 species